rnacentral:rRNA from 1 species
GAUGAACGCUGGCGGCGUGCCUAAUACAUGCAAGUCGAGCGAACGGACGAUAAGCUUGCUUCUCUGCUGUUAGCGGCGGACGGGUGAGUAACACGUGGAUAACCUACCUAUAAGACUGGGAUAACUUCGGGAAACCGUAGCUAAUACCGGCUCAUAUUUUGAACCGCAUGGUUCAAAAGUGAAAGACGGUCUUGCUGUCACUUAUAGAUGGAUCCGCGGUGCAUUAGCUAGUUGGUAAGGUAACGGCCUACCAAGGCAACGCUCCAUAGCCGACGUGAGAGGAUGAUCGGCGACACGGGAACUGAGAGACGGUAUGGACUACUAGGGGAGGAAGCAGGGGGGAAUAUUGGAGAAUGGGCGCAAGCGUGAUGCAGCCAUACCGCGUGGGUGAAGAAGGAAUUAGGGUUGUAAAGCAAUUUUGUGGGGAAAGAAAAGAAGCAGGUUAAGACCCCGCUGUUCUGACGGUACCCAAAGAAGAGGCACCGGCUAAAUUCGUG